AGAGAGAGUGUGAAAAGGGGUUCCUAGAUGCAUUUGUCAUUUGAGAUGGGGGUGUGGGGUUAAAAAGCGUAAAGGAACUUCACUUUCCUGGAUAUGAGUUUGAUCAGCAAACUAAGAAUGAAAGGGACAUGUGAGACUGAAGAAGGAAGAAAAAUGACACUAAAAAGCGAAAAAGAAAAUUCUCUAGGAAAACAAGGAAACCACUGGUGACUUCUUUGGGGAGGGCAGUGUCAGCGAAAGGAGAGUUUUUGUUAAAAAUUGAAUUUUAUGUUUGGAUAUUUUUCCUCUUCUAUUUUAAGAGGAUGAGAGGCUAGAGGGAGUGGGAGAGGCGUUAGCAUUGUUAUUCAGUUCUAAAGGAGGGAACAAAAGUAUACAUUGAUUAAAGGAAUAUACUCUUCAACUAGGUACAGGAAGUUUCAGAAGACGGUUAGGUGCAUGGAGAAAUUAUUGUGUACAGGUAGGGGCGAGCCUGGAUGUGGCCUGGGAUUGGCUGUGGAGUGUGACUCAGCGCGCACUGGCUGUGGGGUCCCCCGCGAUUGGUGAUCAUACUACAUCUCACCUUUAGGAGGGAGGAAAAGUGCAGGGCUAAAGCUGUAAUCGGCAAAGAAGCAACAAUCAUAUUAGCUGGGGGAGGAGGAAAGGUGUAGGGCUAAAGCUGUAAUCGGCAAAGAAGCAACAAUCAUAUUAGCUGGGGG
rnacentral:lncRNA from 10 species